AUGGCGCCGUCACCCCGCGCCAAGUCUUCGCGCGCGCCGGAGCCCUGUGCAGUUGCCUUCCUGCAUGCCCGCAGCCUUCCUCGCUCUGUCUUGAGCGCCUCGGUGCCGCACCUCGCUCGCCUCCGCCUCCUCGCCAUGGCCCCUCACAACCGCUCCUCUGCCUCGCGUCGCCUUUUUCACUCCCCUGCAUCAGCCCCAGAGAUCACCGCUGCCGGAAAUCGCCAGGUCCGGCGACCCCUCGUCCAGCGGGACCUCUCCUUCAUUGCCGGCCUUCGCCGUGCGCGACGCCGCCUCCCCUGCCUCGCACCAAGGCCGAAGCCCGCCACUUCGUCCUUUGCCGCCCCAUGGAGGCAUGAGCCAUCGACCUCGUCGGGCCUCCUCCUCUGUUCCGUGCCGCAGCCAAACUAUGGUUCGAGAGGAGCUCGAUCCCAAGCACCUUUCUGUCCGUCCAAGCCGCCGUCAUGUCCAUGCUGUAGCCCUGCAUCGUCUUUCCUUGCUCAGCAGCAGCUCGUCAUCUCCAGCGCUGCCCCUGCCCGAGUCAAGUGCCAUCAAGCCCCUGAUGGAUGUGACAAGUCCCCGACAAGACCCCUUUUUUGUCCAGUUCAGCUACACGGCUAUGACCAUAGAUUUGGACCGCAAGUGGCAAGUACCCCACCGACAAGACCACACGGACGCCCGAACGACUACGCGGAUUCACCAAGUACACCUUCGUCAAGAUCGAUGCCCGAACAAGCACCGUUUGCGUGGAUUACGUCAAGUUCAACUACUUUGACUACGAACGGUGACGACCCCGAACAUCUACGGACGUGUAUGACUAUCGUUGCCGAAGAACCGAGGGUCACAAAUGCCGUGAACAACUACCGUCGCCGAAGACUUAUGAACCAAAAACUUCAAGUUCGACUACCGUCACAAGGACGAGACCGGCAAGUCCGAAGACCCCAAGUACCACGGCAACCUCGAAGAGAUUCAAGUUCGUCAUGUUCGACUACUGAUAAACAUGUACCACUACCGUCGCCGGGAUCGCGAGAACCUCUACCGUCGACCCUAGAGCAUGCAAGAACGACUACUUCCACUACGAAUGUCCCGAAAACGUCUACUUCCCCUACACCGCAUCGAACUCGAACCGCUCCGAUAAUGCACGCUUCGAAGCUUGCAGGUGCCGAUGAGUCCGUGCAGAUGACGCAACCAAGCUCAGGAGGAGCUCGAUGA
rnacentral:rRNA from 1 species